CCGGUAGUUCAGUUGGUUAGAACGCUAGCCUGUCACGCUAGAGGUCACGAGUUCGAGUCUCGUUCG
rnacentral:tRNA from 1 species